GAUGAACGCUGGCGGCGUGCCUAAUACAUGCAAGUCGAGCGAACAGACGAGGAGCUUGCUCCUCUGACGUUAGCGGCGGACGGGUGAGUAACACGUGGAUAACCUACCUAUCAGACUGGGAUAAAUUCGGGAAACCGGAGCUAAUACCGGAUAAAAUAUUGAACCGCAUGGUUCAAUAGUGAAAGACGGUUUUGAUGUCACUUAUAGAUGGAUCCGCGCCGCAUUAGCUAGUUGGUAAGGUAACGGCUUACCAAGGCAACGAUGCGUAGCCGACCUGAGAGGGUGAUCGGCCACACUGGAACUGAGACACGGUCCAGACUCCUACGGGAGGCAGCAGUAGGGAAUCUUCCGCAAUGGGCGAAAGCUUGACGGAGCAACGCCGCGUGAGUGAUGAAGGUCUUCGGAUCGUAAAACUCUGUUAUUAGGGAAGAACAAAUGUGUAAGUAACUAUGCACGUCUUGACGGUACCUAAUCAGAAAGCCACGGCUAACUACGUG
rnacentral:rRNA from 1 species